rnacentral:rRNA from 1 species
AUUGAACGCUGGCGGCAGGCCUAACACAUGCAAGUCGAGCGGAGCGGCGAACGGGUGAGUACUGCCUAGGAAUUUGCCUGUUAGUGGGGGAUAACGUCCGUAAACGGGCGCUAAUACCACAUACUAUCAGAUGAGCCUAGGUGGGCUUAGCUAUUUGGUGGGGUAAAGGCCUACCAAGGCGAAGAUCCGUAACUGGUCUGAGAGGAUGAUCAGUCACACUGGAACUGAGACACGGUCCAGAAGCCUACGGGAGGCAGCAGUGGGGAAUAUUGGACAAUGGGCGAAAGCCUGAUCCAGCAAUGCCGCGUGUGUGAAGAAGGUCUUCGGAUUGUAAAGCACUUUAAGUAGGGAGGCGUUACCAACAGAAUAAGCACCGGCUAACUGCGUGCCAGCAGCCGCGGUAAUAC